UACAGAGGGUGCUAGCGUUGUUCGGAAUCAUUGGGCGUAAAGGGCGUGUAGGCGGUUUGUUAAGUCAUGUGUGAAAUCCCUCGGCUCAACCGGGGAACGACGCAUGAAACUGGCAAGCUAGAGUACCAAAGAGGGGGUGGAAUUCCCGGUGUAGCGGUGAAAUGCGUAGAGAUGUGGAGGAACACCAGUGGCGAAGGCGACUCUUUGGCCUGUAACUGACGCUGAGGCGCGAAAGCGUGGGGAGCAAACAGG
rnacentral:rRNA from 1 species